GACGAACGCUGGCGGCGUGCCUAAUACAUGCAAGUAGAACGCUGAAGGAGGAGCUUGCUUCUCCGGAUGAGUUGCGAACGGGUGAGUAACGCGUAGGUAACCUGCCUGGUAGCGGGGGAUAACUAUUGGAAACGAUAGCUAAUACCGCAUAACAGUAGAUAUUGCAUGAUAUCUGCUUGAAAGGUGCACUUGCAUCACUACCAGAUGGACCUGCGUUGUAUUAGCUAGUUGGUGAGGUAACGGCUCACCAAGGCGACGAUACAUAGCCGACCUGAGAGGGUGAUCGGCCACACUGGGACUGGGACACGGCCCAGACUCCUACGGGAGGGAGCAGGAGGGAAUCUUUGGCAAUGGACGGAAGUCUGAACGAGCAACGCCGCGUGAGUGAAGAAGGUUGUCGGAUCGUAAAGCUCUGUUGUAAGAGAAGAACGAGUGUGAGAGUGGAAAGUUCACACUGUGACGGUAUCUGACCAGAAAGGGACGGCUAACUACGUG
rnacentral:rRNA from 1 species